rnacentral:lncRNA from 1 species
ACUUAAGUCUCCUCUGACAGGGUACAUUGCUAAGUUCCACUUGAUUCCCCUCUUUCAGCAAGCUAGACGGGCUCUGCAGGAGAGGUGGGGACACCACCACCAGCAAGGGAACACCAGAGAAGGUCUGGUGGGUGAUGUUACCCAGGUAUACAGGUGACUGAAAACCCCAAUACUCAUGGCUCUUGGUUUUUGAUUUUAAACCAAGGAUUUCACAAACCAUAACCAGAAAUUUGUACAUGGGCCAGUUCUUUUGAGAAGGAGCUGAAAAUGACAAAUGGCACUUUAUUUUGGCAUGGAUUCCGAGUUUGCAAAUACAAAGAUCUGUGUGCAAAAAAAUAUAGGCACCAUUUGAAAACUGUCAAGCUACUUACAUAUGGCACACAUGCCACACACACACAUGCACGCACACACACGCACGUGCACAUACAGAGGUUGUUUUCAAAUUAAUUUGAAGGGCUAUUUAGCUCUGAGCUUUCACCGCAUUCAGUUAUAUCUGACUCAAUACAGCUGCAAGCUGGGCACUGAUAUCUUUCGAUAGCAAUUCUGUUCCUAGGAUUUGUUUGAAAGCGUUUAGGUUUUCAUGGAUCACUGGAGGUUCUUCAUUUUCCCCCUUCUGUGUUAUGUAGGUCUAAGCCAUCUCUCUAGGCAUAAACUGUCCACUGGUAAAAAUCAAUUUUGAUUUUAUCACUAUUUAUUACUGCUAGUGCCAGCAGUUUAAAAGACUAGAGAGGGAAAACAUGCAAACUAGGAGGAGAAAAAAAAUUACAGCCGGGUCCUCACACCUACCAAUACACAGCCUGCUCUCUUUAAGAGGUAUUUCGUAUCACGCUGAGAGCUUAAAAUUAUCAAUUUGAAAAUUCAAUCCGUAAACAUUUACAGGGCUCUGCUGUUGCUUCCAUCUCCUCUGUGCGCACGUGGCUGGCGUUCCUAAAGCCAGG